rnacentral:rRNA from 1 species
UACGGGGGGGGUAAGCGUUGUUCGGAAUUACUGGGCGUAAAGGGCGCGUAGGCGGCCGAUCAAGUCAGGCGUGAAAUUCCCGGGCUCAACCUGGGGGCUGCGCUUGAUACUGAUUGGCUUGAAUGCGGGAGAGGAUAGUGGAAUUCCCAGUGUAGAGGUGAAAUGCGCAGAUAUCGGGAGGAACACCAAUGGCGAAGGCAGCUCGCUGGGACGGUACUGACGCUGAGACGCGAAAGCGUGGGGAGCAAACAGG